AGACUCUUGGGGGAUUCCUUAGUGAGUGAGUUCACUGCUCAAAGAAGGGCUUUGCCACUUCUGCAGGGAAGCCAGCCACGGGCCAGCAUCUUGAAAGCGCCACAAGCAGCAGCUGCUGAGCCAUGGCUGAAGGGGAAAUCACCACCUUCACAGCCCUGACCGAGAAGUUUAAUCUGCCUCCAGGGAAUUACAAGAAGCCCAAACUCCUCUACUGUAGCAACGGGGGCCACUUCCUGAGGAUCCUUCCGGAUGGCACAGUGGAUGGGACAAGGGACAGGAGCGACCAGCACAGUAAGC
rnacentral:lncRNA from 1 species